UAUAAACACAAUCAAACCUUCAAAAAAACACGAAAAACAGGACCUUUAAACUUAAAGCCUAGUUUAUUAACAUUUUGUUGGGGCGAUGGGGGACAUGUGGGGCUCGGAACCCUUCCCUACCUCCAAAGUGGGGAAUGGCAGAAAAAGUUUGAGAAACACUGCUCUAUACACUGCUUUCUGUCUUCUAAGUGUCUAUUGCAUUUUGUCCUGCCUCUUCAGUUAACUCCUUCGGGUCGGCGGUCGCGGCAGCGAUACCGCCUCGCUUUUUUUUUUUUCUUUUCUCAUCAGUGUGAAAGAGACUCAAAAUACUCAGCCGAAUUUGAUCACGCAUACCAGUGUUAUACAAUACUCUAAAGUGUUGUACUUUUUUUUUUUUUUUUUUUUUUUUUUGUGUACACUCUCAAAAAAAAAAAACGCUGUGCUUUUUGCAAAAAUAAAUGAACGUGAUGUGCGAUCUGAUGUCUCCCUCUUAGUGAAGUCAAUUCGGAAAUGCAUUUUAAAAUGAACUGAAACUCAGCAAAUACUUGCCACACAGAUGAGACACAUGUCUACAUAAUGCUUGGAAUGUCUACUUUUAAAUGAAGUCAAAUCAAAAAUAAAUAUUCUGUUUUAUAAAAAGAAAAAAAAUCAUUUGAAACCAAGGAGAGGUUCCUUUUCCUUCACACUUCAUUAUCUGUAAUGAGCUAAGACUGCCACACCCCCCGCGUCGUUCACAUGGUAAAUGGUUUAGGUGAACUGUCUGCAUCGGACACGCCCCUCGUUCAAUGCCACAAAAAACAUCAGAUUCACUGAACGUUAGUCACGUUUUGAGGAUGGCACACUACUCCGGUAAAGAGGCCCUUCAGAUGAUUCUGGACAGUGAGGAAGAUGUCACCUUUUCCUCGAAGGAUGAUUGAGAUGACGAACAGUGCAUUUCAAACAGCGACUUGACCCUGAGGAGGAUAAAAGUACGGGGUAAGUUGUUUAGUGUUAUAUAAUUCAUUUUCUGAUAAUAUAAAACUUGUAUGAAUUUUCACACUAUAUUGUGCCUGUAGUGAAUACAGAUGUAAAUGUUUGAAAUGCACUAAAUACGUGCAGUCUAUAUGGCCCAUCAACAGAUACUCGCGGCCUAUGGCCAAUCAAUAUAUAUUUUUCCGUCCUAUGGCCCAUCGUCAGCAGAUAUAUACAUACAUUGUGCGUCCAUACCCACUAAUUGCCCAUCAGUUUACUUUGGACAAUGUAUGCUAAUAGUGUUUUAUUUGUUUAGGAAUGUGUCUGCAUUGUGCUCGCCUUCACCAGCACCGCACACGGGCACGCAGGUAUCGUUCAGUUCUCAGUACGAUCGAGAAUCAUAUGGAAUGUGACAAUGAAAAUUUCCAAACACCUGUUCAAAAGAGAUCCCAAGAGAUACAACAAACACAUGGGGGGCAUUGACCUGUCUGAUCAGCUGAUACAGUACUACACAACACAGCAUAACCAUAAAGUGGUACAGAAAGAUUUUUCUGCAUUUCUUGGACAUUGCUUCCACCGACUCUUUUAUUUUGCACAGAGCUAUUGUGCGCAUGAUUGUCCGUAUGAUUACUGCAGUCUUAAGUGUCACAUGAUCCUUCAGAAAUUAUUCUAAUAUGCUGAUUUGAUAUUCAGUUGUUACCAGUGUUGGAAACGGUUAUAAUGGUAUAUCACUGUCAUGACUGGAACCAGGAAUUUUUUUUUUUCUCCACUGCAAAGAAAUGCCAAACACCUUGGAAUGCCAGCUAAGUGAUGUUCACUUAUAUCUUUGAACAGGAUUUAUUUCCAGGUAAAUCUGUAUACUCAAAUCGUGCCCUCAUUUAUUCAUUGUUUCAUUUAUAUUGUUAACUAUAUUCUGAAUAAACUACCAGGGGGAAAAAAAAAAACUUUGUACUUUGAUAAAUUUUCACUCGCAUUGCCUUCCGACCCAAAAGAGCUCAUUAUGCAGGUCGUUAUGCGGGUCUUUGUCUUCUCAGGUGUGAAUCUCAGCAUUAUUCAUGAAGAUUCAUGCCUCCACGAAUAUUGUCUUUCUUGACAAAAAGUCUUACAAAAUUUAAAUCAUUUUUGUUUUAUAUGAAC